rnacentral:rRNA from 1 species
AUGAACGCUGGCGGCGUGCCUAAUACCUGCAGGUCGAGCGAACGGACGAGAAGCUUGCUUCUCUGAUGUUAGCGGCGGACGGGUGAGUAACACGUGGAUAACCUACCUAUAAGACUGGGAUAACUUCGGGAAACCGGAGCUAAUACCGGAUGAUAUUUUGAACCGCAUGGUUCAAAAGUGAAAGACGGUCUUGCUGUCACUUAUAGAUGGAUCCGCGCUGCAUUAGCUAGUUGGUAAGGUAACGGCUUACCAAGGCAACGAUGCAUAGCCGACCUGAGAGGGUGAUCGGCCACACUGGAACUGAGACACGGUCCAGACUCCUACGGGAGGCAGCAGUAGGGAAUCUUCCGCAAUGGGCGAAAGCCUGACGGAGCAACGCCGCGUGAGUGAUGAAGGUCUUCGGAUCGUAAAACUCUGUUAUUAGGGAAGAACAUAUGUGUAAGUAACUGUGCACAUCUUGACGGUACCUAAUCAGAAAGCCACGGCUAACUACGUG